GCCGCGGGUGCUAUACAUGCAAGUCGAACGCGUUGGCCCAAUUGAUUGAUGGUGCUUGCACCUGAUUGAUUUUGGUCGCCAACGAGUGGCGGACGGGUGAGUAACACGUAGGUAACCUGCCCAGAAGCGGGGGACAACAUUUGGAAACAGAUGCUAAUACCGCAUAACAGCGUUGUUCGCAUGAACAACGCUUAAAAGAUGGCUUCUCGCUAUCACUUCUGGAUGGACCUGCGGUGCAUUAGCUUGUUGGUGGGGUAACGGCCUACCAAGGCGAUGAUGCAUAGCCGAGUUGAGAGACUGAUCGGCCACAAUGGGACUGAGACACGGCCCAUACUCCUACGGGAGGCAGCAGUAGGGAAUCUUCCACAAUGGGCGCAAGCCUGAUGGAGCAACACCGCGUGAGUGAAGAAGGGUUUCGGCUCGUAAAGCUCUGUUGUUAAAGAAGAACACGUAUGAGAGUAACUGUUCAUACGUUGACGGUAUUUAACCAGAAAGUCACGGCUAACUACGUGCCAGCAGCCGCGGUAAUACGUAGGUGGCAAGCGUUAUCCGGAUUUAUUGGGCGUAAAGAGAGUGCAGGCGGUUUUCUAAGUCUGAUGUGAAAGCCUUCGGCUUAACCGGAGAAGUGCAUCGGAAACUGGAUAACUUGAGUGCAGAAGAGGGUAGUGGAACUCCAUGUGUAGCGGUGGAAUGCGUAGAUAUAUGGAAGAACACCAGUGGCGAAGGCGGCUACCUGGUCUGCAACUGACGCUGAGACUCGAAAGCAUGGGUAGCGAACAGGAUUAGAUACCCUGGUAGUCCAUGCCGUAAACGAUGAGUGCUAGGUGUUGGAGGGUUUCCGCCCUUCAGUGCCGGAGCUAACGCAUUAAGCACUCCGCCUGGGGAGUACGACCGCAAGGUUGAAACUCAAAGGAAUUGACGGGGGCCCGCACAAGCGGUGGAGCAUGUGGUUUAAUUCGAAGCUACGCGAAGAACCUUACCAGGUCUUGACAUCUUGCGCCAACCCUAGAGAUAGGGCGUUUCCUUCGGGAACGCAAUGACAGGUGGUGCAUGGUCGUCGUCAGCUCGUGUCGUGAGAUGUUGGGUUAAGUCCCGCAACGAGCGCAACCCUUGUUACUAGUUGCCAGCAUUAAGUUGGGCACUCUAGUGAGACUGCCGGUGACAAACCGGAGGAAGGUGGGGACGACGUCAGAUCAUCAUGCCCCUUAUGACCUGGGCUACACACGUGCUACAAUGGACGGUACAACGAGUCGCGAACUCGCGAGGGCAAGCAAAUCUCUUAAAACCGUUCUCAGUUCGGACUGCAGGCUGCAACUCGCCUGCACGAAGUCGGAAUCGCUAGUAAUCGCGGAUCAGCAUGCCGCGGUGAAUACGUUCCCGGGCCUUGUACACACCGCCCGUCACACCAUGAGAGUUUGUAACACCCAAAGUCGGUGGGGUAACCUUUAGGAGCCAGCCGCCUAAGGUGACAGGAUGA
rnacentral:rRNA from 1 species